GGUCUGGAAACUUUCAGCCAGUUGGUGUUUGAAGACGACUAUGGAGCCAAAAGCAUCAAUUCAACAGCAAUUAGUGACUUCCCCAGAUUCGCACAUAGAGGCAUCUUACUGGACACCUCUCGGCAUUUCCUGCCUAUUAAAGUCAUCUUGACUAAUCUGG